AUGAACGACAAUCGUUGUUAGAUCAUGAGUUGGAAUGUGCAGGGUCUGAAUUCACCUGCAAGGGGAGCCAUGGUCUAUGAAGCCGCACGGGUGCACAAGCUCACCAUUCUCUGGCUCCAGGAGACAAAGAUAGAUGCCUGGACCCCUGCCUUAGUUUGAGACAUAGGCGGCGGUUCACGGGAUGGCUGCGCCACCCUCCCGUCGAUCGGGACGCGCUGUGGGUCUGCCAUCUUCUGGGACUCCUCCGUCGUUGGCCUAGCCACCCACAUGGUGGGACGCUUUUCCAUCACUGCUCGGGACACCAUGCUGCACUCCGGUAGCACUUUCUGGCUAACAACUGUUUAUGGGCCGGCUGAUGAGGCGAGGAAGGAUGAUUUCCUUCAGGAGCUGGCCGCGGCUGCUCCACCCCCAGGGCAACCAUGGCUGAUAUACGGGGAUUUUAACAUCAUCUAUGAAGCACGAGACAAGAACAAUGCAAUCACAAACAGAAGAAUCAUGGGAAUAUUCCGAUCGGCGAUCGAUCGGGCAGAGCUAAGGGAGAUAAAGUGA
rnacentral:rRNA from 1 species